rnacentral:rRNA from 1 species
UACAGAGGGUGCAAGCGUUGUUCGGAAUUAUUGGGCGUAAAGCGCGUGUAGGCGGCUUUGCAAGUCGGGUGUGAAAUCCCUCGGCUUAACCGGGGAACUGCGUCUGAUACUGAAGAUCUUGAGUUCGGGAGAGGUGAGUGGAACUGCGAGUGUAGAGGUGAAAUUCGUAGAUAUUCGCAAGAACACCAGUGGCGAAGGCGGACUCACUGGCCCGGUACUGACGCUGAGGUGCGAAAGCGUGGGGAGCAAACAGGG